AUAUCAAUAAGCGGAGGAAAAGAAACCAACAGGGAUUGCCCUAGUAACGGCGAGUGAAGCGGCAACAGCUCAAAUUUGAAAUCUGGCUCUCGGGCCCGAGUUGUAAUUUGUAGAGGAUACUUUUGAUGCGGUGCCUUCCGAGUUCCCUGGAACGGGACGCCAUAGAGGGUGAGAGCCCCGUCUGGUUGGACGCCAAAUCUCUGUAAAGUUCCUUCAACGAGUCGAGUAGUUUGGGAAUGCUGCUCUAAAUGGGAGGUAUAUGUCUUCUAAAGCUAAAUACCGGCCAGAGACCGAUAGCGCACAAGUAGAGUGAUCGAAAGAUGAAAAGCACUUUGAAAAGAGAGUUAAAAAGUACGUGAAAUUGUUGAAAGGGAAGCGUUUAUGACCAGACUUGGGCUUGGUUAAUCAUCUGGGGUUCUCCCCAGUGCACUUUUCCAGUCCAGGCCAGCAUCAGUUUUCCCCGGGGGAUAAAGGCGGCGGGAAUGUGGCUCUCUUCGGGGAGUGUUAUAGCCCACCGUGUAAUACCCUGGGGGGGACUGAGGUUCGCGCAUCUGCAAGGAUGCUGGCGUAAUGGUCAUCAACG
rnacentral:rRNA from 1 species